rnacentral:rRNA from 1 species
UUAAGCGACUAAGCGUACACGGUGGAUGCCCUGGCAGUCAGAGGCGAUGAAGGACGUGCUAAUCUGCGAUAAGCGUCGGUAAGGUGAUAUGAACCGUUAUAACCGGCGAUUUCCGAAUGGGGAAACCCAGUGUGAUUCGUCACACUAUCAUUAACUGAAUCCAUAGGUUAAUGAGGCGAACCGGGGGAACUGAAACAUCUAAGUACCCCGAGGAAAAGAAAUCAACCGAGAUUCCCCCAGUAGCGGCGAGCGAACGGGGAGCAGUCCAGAGCCUGAAUCAGUGUGUGUGUUAGUGGAAGCGUCUGGAAAGGCGCGCGAUACAGGGUGACAGCCCCGUACACAAAAAUGCACAUACUGUGAGCUCGAUGAGUAGGGCGGGACACGUGGUAUCCUGUCUGAAUAUGGGGGGACCAUCCUCCAAGGCUAAAUACUCCUGACUGACCGAUAGUGAACCAGUACCGUGAGGGAAAGGCGAAAAGAACCCCGGCGAGGGGAGUGAAAAAGAACCUGAAACCGUGUACGUACAAGCAGUGGGAGCACGCUUAGGCGUGUGACUGCGUACCUUUUGUAUAAUGGGUCAGCGACUUAUAUUCUGUAGCAAGGUUAACCGAAUAGGGGAGCCGAAGGGAAACCGAGUCUUAACUGGGCGUUAAGUUGCAGGGUAUAGACCCGAAACCCGGUGAUCUAGCCAUGGGCAGGUUGAAGGUUGGGUAACACUAACUGGAGGACCGAACCGACUAAUGUUGAAAAAUUAGCGGAUGACUUGUGGCUGGGGGUGAAAGGCCAAUCAAACCGGGAGAUAGCUGGUUCUCCCCGAAAGCUAUUUAGGUAGCGCCUCGUGAAUUCAUCUCCGGGGGUAGAGCACUGUUUCGGCAAGGGGGUCAUCCCGACUUACCAACCCGAUGCAAACUGCGAAUACCGGAGAAUGUUAUCACGGGAGACACACGGCGGGUGCUAACGUCCGUCGUGAAGAGGGAAACAACCCAGACCGCCAGCUAAGGUCCCAAAGUCAUGGUUAAGUGGGAAACGAUGUGGGAAGGCCCAGACAGCCAGGAUGUUGGCUUAGAAGCAGCCAUCAUUUAAAGAAAGCGUAAUAGCUCACUGGUCGAGUCGGCCUGCGCGGAAGAUGUAACGGGGCUAAACCAUGCACCGAAGCUGCGGCAGCGACGCUGAUGCGUUGUUGGGUAGGGGAGCGUUCUGUAAGCCUGUGAAGGUGUGCUGUGAGGCAUGCUGGAGGUAUCAGAAGUGCGAAUGCUGACAUAAGUAACGAUAAAGCGGGUGAAAAGCCCGCUCGCCGGAAGACCAAGGGUUCCUGUCCAACGUUAAUCGGGGCAGGGUGAGUCGACCCCUAAGGCGAGGCCGAAAGGCGUAGUCGAUGGGAAACAGGUUAAUAUUCCUGUACUUGGUGUUACUGCGAAGGGGGGACGGAGAAGGCUAUGUUGGCCGGGCGACGGUUGUCCCGGUUUAAGCGUGUAGGCUGGUUUUCCAGGCAAAUCCGGAAAAUCAAGGCUGAGGCGUGAUGACGAGGCACUACGGUGCUGAAGCAACAAAUGCCCUGCUUCCAGGAAAAGCCUCUAAGCAUCAGGUAACAUCAAAUCGUACCCCAAACCGACACAGGUGGUCAGGUAGAGAAUACCAAGGCGCUUGAGAGAACUCGGGUGAAGGAACUAGGCAAAAUGGUGCCGUAACUUCGGGAGAAGGCACGCUGAUAUGUAGGUGAAGUCCCUCGCGGAUGGAGCUGAAAUCAGUCGAAGAUACCAGCUGGCUGCAACUGUUUAUUAAAAACACAGCACUGUGCAAACACGAAAGUGGACGUAUACGGUGUGACGCCUGCCCGGUGCCGGAAGGUUAAUUGAUGGGGUCAGCGCAAGCGAAGCUCUUGAUCGAAGCCCCGGUAAACGGCGGCCGUAACUAUAACGGUCCUAAGGUAGCGAAAUUCCUUGUCGGGUAAGUUCCGACCUGCACGAAUGGCGUAAUGAUGGCCAGGCUGUCUCCACCCGAGACUCAGUGAAAUUGAACUCGCUGUGAAGAUGCAGUGUACCCGCGGCAAGACGGAAAGACCCCGUGAACCUUUACUAUAGCUUGACACUGAACAUUGAGCCUUGAUGUGUAGGAUAGGUGGGAGGCUUUGAAGUGUGGACGCCAGUCUGCAUGGAGCCGGCCUUGAAAUACCACCCUUUAAUGUUUGAUGUUCUAACGUUGACCCGUGAUCCGGGUUGCGGACAGUGUCUGGUGGGUAGUUUGACUGGGGCGGUCUCCUCCUAAAGAGUAACGGAGGAGCACGAAGGUUGGCUAAUCCUGGUCGGACAUCAGGAGGUUAGUGCAAUGGCAUAAGCCAGCUUGACUGCGAGCGUGACGGCGCGAGCAGGUGCGAAAGCAGGUCAUAGUGAUCCGGUGGUUCUGAAUGGAAGGGCCAUCGCUCAACGGAUAAAAGGUACUCCGGGGAUAACAGGCUGAUACCGCCCAAGAGUUCAUAUCGACGGCGGUGUUUGGCACCUCGAUGUCGGCUCAUCACAUCCUGGGGCUGAAGUAGGUCCCAAGGGUAUGGCUGUUCGCCAUUUAAAGUGGUACGCGAGCUGGGUUUAGAACGUCGUGAGACAGUUCGGUCCCUAUCUGCCGUGGGCGCUGGAGAACUGAGGGGGGCUGCUCCUAGUACGAGAGGACCGGAGUGGACGCAUCACUGGUGUUCGGGUUGUCAUGCCAAUGGCACUGCCCGGUAGCUAAAUGCGGAAGAGAUAAGUGCUGAAAGCAUCUAAGCACGAAACUUGCCCCGAGAUGAGUUCUCCCUGACUCCUUGAGAGUCCUGAAGGAACGUUGAAGACGACGACGUUGAUAGGCCGGGUGUGUAAGCGCAGCGAUGCGUUGAGCUAACCGGUACUAAUGAACCGUGAGGCUUAACCUU